UCUAAUAUGGCAGAAUAGUGCGAUGGAUUUAAACCCCAUUUAUAAAGUGAAACUUUUUUUAGAU
rnacentral:tRNA from 1 species